rnacentral:hammerhead_ribozyme from 1 species
AUCCAGCUGACGAGUCCCGAAUUGGGACGAAACGUGAAUCCUGGAU